GAUGAACGCUGGCGGCGUGCCUAAUACAUGCAAGUCGAGCGAACAGACGAGGAGCUUGCUCCUCUGACGUUAGCGGCGGACGGGUGAGUAACACGUGGAUAACCUACCUAUAAGACUGGGAUAACUUCGGGAAACCGGAGCUAAUACCGGAUAAUAUAUUGAACCGCAUGGUUCAAUAGUGAAAGACGGUUUUGCUGUCACGUAUAGAUGGAUCCGCGCCGCAUUAGCUAGUUGGUAAGGUAACGGCUUACCAAGGCGACGAUGCGUAGCCGACCUGAGAGGGUGGUCGGCCACACUGGAACUGAGACACGGUCCAGACUCCUACGGGAGGCAGCAGUAGGGAAUCUUCCGCAAUGGGCGAAAGCCUGACGGAGCAACGCCGCGUGAGUGAUGAAGGUCUUCGGAUCGUAAAACUCUGUUAUUAGUGAAGAACAAAUGUGUAAGUAACUAUGCACGUCUUGACGGUACCUAAUCAGAAAGCCACGGCUAACUACGUG
rnacentral:rRNA from 1 species